UCCGGGAAACCGGGGCUAAUACCGAAUGAUAAAGUGUGGCGCAUGCCACGCUUUUGAAAGAUGGUUUCGGCUAUCGCUUACAGAUGGGCCCGCGGUGCAUUAGCUAGUUGGUAGGGUAAUGGCCUACCAAGGCAACGAUGCAUAGCCGACCUGAGAGGGUGAUCGGCCACACUGGGACUGAGACACGGCCCAGACUCCUACGGGAGGCAGCAGUAGGGAAUCUUCCGCAAUGGACGAAAGUCUGACGGAGCAACGCCGCGUGUAUGAAGAAGGUUUUCGGAUCGUAAAGUACUGUUGUUAGAGAAGAACAAGGAUAAGAGUAACUGCUUGUCCCUUGACGGUAUCUAACCAGAAAGCCACGGCUAACUACGUGCCAGCAGCCGCGGUAAUACGUAGGUGGCAAGCGUUGUCCGGAUUUAUUGGGCGUAAAGCGCGCGCAGGCGGUCUUUUAAGUCUGAUGUGAAAGCCCCCGGCUUAACCGGGGAGGGUCAUUGGAAACUGGAAGACUGGAGUGCAGAAGAGGAGAGUGGAAUUCCACGUGUAGCGGUGAAAUGCGUAGAUAUGUGGAGGAACACCAGUGGCGAAGGCGACUCUCUGGUCUGUAACUGACGCUGAGGCGCGAAAGCGUGGGGAGCAAACAGGAUUAGAUACC
rnacentral:rRNA from 1 species